rnacentral:misc_RNA from 1 species
CAACCCUCAAGCCCCCGGGUUUGGUGUUGGGGAUCGGCGAGUCUUAGGACCAGCCGCCCCCUAAAUCUAGUGGCGGUCUCACUGCAGCCUCCAUUGCGUAGUAGCUAACACCUCGCAACUGGAACGCGGUGCGGCCAUGCCGUUAAACCCCCAACUUCUGAA